GGUUAAACAAAAAAGAGCGUAGGGCGGAUGCCUUGGCACUAAGAGCCGAUGAAGGACGUGAUAAGCUGCGAUAAGCUGCGGGGAAGAGCAAAUAUCUAUUGAUCCGCAGAUUUCCGAAUGGGGAAACCUACUGCAGAAGAGCUGCAGUGACUGUGCGUGAAUCCAUAGCGUACAGCCGGGAACCCGCUGAACUGAAACAUCUGAGUAGGCGGAGGAAGAGAAAACAACAGUGAUUCCGUAAGUAGCGGCGAGCGAACGCGGAAGAGCCCAAACCGCAGUGCGUGCACUGCGGGGUUCGGACUGCACACGGGAAUUGAAUCGUUACCGGAAAGACUUUGGAACAGUCUGCCAGAGAGGGUGAAAGCCCCGUACGGGAAAACGAGUUGAGACCCAGCAGGAUCCAGAGUACCACGAGACACGUGAAACCUUGUGGGAAGGCGGGGGGACCACCCCCUAAGGCUAAAUACUACUUAGUGACCGAUAGUGCAUAGUACUGUGAAGGAAAGGUGAAAAGGACCCCGGGAGGGGAGUGAAAAAGAACCUGAAACCCUAUGUUUACAUGCAGUGGAAGUGCGAUACAUGAACGCACAACCGCGUACUUUUUGUAGAACGGUCCGGCGAGUUGCCGGUGCUGGCAAGGUUAAGGACUACAGGUCCG
rnacentral:ncRNA from 1 species